rnacentral:rRNA from 1 species
AUUGAACGCUGGCGGCGUGCCUAACACAUGCAAGUCGAACGUGAAAGUUCCUUCGGGAGCGAGUAAAGUGGCGCACGGGUGAGUAACACGUGGAUAAUCUACCGGGAAGUUGGGGAUAACGACUGGAAACGGUCGCUAAUACCGAAUACGCUGUUCUAUUUGUUUAGGACAGGAAAGGAGGCCUCUGCAUAUGCUUCCGCUUUUCGAUGAGUCCGCGUCCCAUUAGCUAGUUGGCGGGGUAAAGGCCCACCAAGGCGACGAUGGGUAGCUGGUCUGAGAGGAUGAUCAGCCACACUGGGACUGGAACACGGCCCAG